CCCUUAGAUGUUCUGGGCUGCACGCGCGCUACACUGAUGCGCUCAACGAGUUUAUGACCUUGCCCGGAAGGGUUGGGUAAUCUUCUUAAAACGCAUCGUGAUGGGGAUAGAUUAUUGCAAUUAUUAAUCUUCAACGAGGAAUUCCUAGUAAGCGCGAGUCAUCAGCUCGUGCUGAUUACGUCCCUGCCCUUUGUACACACCGCCCGUCGCUACUACCGAUUGAAUGGUUUAGUGAGGACUCCUGAUUGGCGCCGCCGCCCCGGCAACGGAGCAGCGGACUGCCGAAAAGUUGUUCAAACUUGAUCAUUUAGAGGAAGUAAAAGUCGUAACA
rnacentral:rRNA from 1 species